rnacentral:rRNA from 1 species
UACGUAGGAGGCGAGCGUUGUCCGGAAUUACUGGGCGUAAAGCGCGCGCAGGCGGCACGGUACGACCGGUGUGAAAGCCCCCGGCUCAACUGGGGAGGGUCACCGGUAACGGCCGAGCUUUGGAGUGCAGGAGAGGGAUGUGGAACUCCGGGAGUAGCGGUGAAAUGCGUAGAGACCCGGAGGAACACCAGUGGCGAAGGCGGCAUCCUGGUCUGCAACUGACGCUGAGGCGCGAAAGCUAGGGGAGCAAACGGG